UACGGGGGGGGCAAGCGUUGUUCGGAAUUACUGGGCGUAAAGGGUUCGUAGGUGGCUUGCUUAGUCAGACGUGAAAUCCCUCAGCUUAACUGGGGAACUGCGUCUGAUACUGGCGAGCUUGAGUGCAGGAGAGGAACGCGGAAUUCCAGGUGUAGCGGUGAAAUGCGUAGAUAUCUGGAGGAACACCGGUGGCGAAGGCGGCGUCUGGACUGCAACUGACACUGAUGAACGAAAGCCAGGGGAGCAAACGGGAUUAGAAACCCAGACCAAGUCUCUGCUACCGUA
rnacentral:rRNA from 1 species